AGGAGGAAGGUACAGGCUCUCAGCACAGCACAGGGCUGCAGGGCAGAGGGUGUUCACAGUGCUCUGGUGGGCAGCCAGCGCUGACCACUCUACCUCCUGGCUGGAGAGCUGCAGGGUCAGGGACUGGGUAGAGCUUCAGAGAGACCUGUUUCAGCUGAAAAGCCCCUUGGAAGCUCCACCCACCCACUGAACAGCUGAGAGUCAGGGAGAGGGAACUGUAGCAGCAUCUCCUGUCCUGCAGGGAGCCUUUGGAUAGCAGGCAAGCCUGCGUGCAGCUCCUGCAAGCUGCAGCCUUACAGGUCAACUGAAUUGGGGGAUGGGAGGAAGGUCAAUUUUUUUCAGGGCAGGCUGCUCCCCCAGCGUGGGGCCCAGGGUGAUUGCCCUGGUCGCCCCACCUUAAGGAUAGGCCUGGUUAGAAGAGCCGGAUGGUAAGGAAGGUGACAGAGAUUCCCAUGGAAAAGCCAUAGGAAACAAAGAAACCUGUGAUGUUUCUGCCACCAGGAGGUCACUAGUAUGCAAUGUGUCUUGUCACUUUGCAUCUUUUGCAGGAUCAAGGGAUUAGCUGAAUCAGAAUAACAGGGUACACUUAAUGUGCAUUCCAGGUUGUAGACUUAGGUUUAGACUGAGUAGGUUUGGAAGAUGGAAAGGAGUGCCUAAACUGAUGAAAGAUUUGGGAAUGAAAGAAAUGAUCCAUCUGAGAGUGAGAAGACGAUCUUGAGGACUAUGGGCGCUGAGCCCUAAAAGGCCUGUUGUACCUUGAGGAAGUAGCGGAGAAGCACAGAAGACAAAACUCUCCAACUAGCCCGAGAUGUAGCUCUCUCCAUGGACGAUGAAAAAUUCAGGAGUUAAGGGCUAGCCAUGUGAGGAGCUACCACUCAGAGAGGGAAGAGGAAUUUUGCAAACUCCUGAUUAGACCUUCACUGUCCAAAUGAAGCCCAGCUGUGUGAUGGCCAGAUCUCACCAAGAAAAACUGCAAAUCCCAACAUUACAGUGCCACUCUGAUUAAAUGUUAUGGUAAUUUCGAACCUUGAAAUUCAGGGAUAAAUUCAUCAGGAAAGUAUUCUCUAAACCUUUCCCCAAAAAUCUUGGAGGAAAUAAAUUAAUAAAUAAUGUUAUAAAAAGUUAA